rnacentral:rRNA from 1 species
UGCUAAUACAUGCAAGUCGAACGAGAGCGACCGGUGUUUGCACUGGUCAAUCUAGUGGCGAACGGGUGAGUAACACGUGGGUAACCUGCCCAUCAGAGGGGGAUAACAUCCGGAAACGGAUGCUAAAACCGCAUAGGUCUUCGAGCCGCAUGGCUUGAAGAGGAAAAGAGGCGCAAGCUUCUGCUGAUGGAUGGACCCGCGGUGCAUUAGCUAGUUGGUGAGGUAACGGCUCACCAAGGCCGUGAUGCAUAGCCGACCUGAGAGGGUGAUCGGCCACAUUGGGACUGAGACACGGCCCAAACUCCUACGGGAGGCAGCAGUAGGGAAUCUUCCGCAAUGGACGCAAGUCUGACGGAGCAACGCCGCGUGAGUGAAGAAGGUUUUCGGAUCGUAAAACUCUGUUGUUAGAGAAGAACAAGUGCUAGAGUAACUGUUAGCGCCUUGACGGUAUCUAACCAGAAAGCCACGGCUAACUACGUGCCAGCAGCCGCGGUAAUACGUAGGUGGCAAGCGUUGUCCGGAUUUAUUGGGCGUAAAGCGAGCGCAGGCGGUUGCUUAAGUCUGAUGUGAAAGCCCCCGGCUCAACCGGGGAGGGUCAUUGGAAACUGGGGAACUUGAGUGCAGAAGAGGAGAGUGGAAUUCCAUGUGUAGCGGUGAAAUGCGUAGAUAUAUGGAGGAACACCAGUGGCGAAGGCGACUCUCUGGUCUGUAACUGACGCUGAGGCUCGAAAGCGUGGGUAGCAAACAGGAUUAGAUACCCUGGUAGUCCACGCCGUAAACGAUGAGUGCUAAGUAUUGGAGGGUUUCCGCCCUUCAGUGCUGCAGUUAACGCAUUAAGCACUCCGCCUGG